rnacentral:rRNA from 1 species
CGGGUGAGUAACACGUAUCCAACCUGCCGUCUACUCUUGGCCAGCCUUCUGAAAGGAAGAUUAAUCCAGGAUGGCAUCAUGAGUUCACAUGUCCGCAUGAUUAAAGGUAUUUUCCGGUAGACGAUGGAGAUGCGUUCCAUUAGAUAGUAGGCGGGGUAACGGCCCACCUAGUCAACGAUGGAUAGGGGUUCUGAGAGGAAGGUCCCCCACAUUGGAACUGAGACACGGUCCAA